UCUCAGCCUGCUCUUGCCCUGUGCACCCACACACACCCCGCCACACCCCACCCUUCCCAACAGAAGGCUGGUAGUGAAUGAAUUCAUCCUCCACACCACUGCCAGAAUUCCUUCCAAAGGAAAAAAUGAACAUUUAUCCCACAUGGAAACUUUCAGUAGAAGCCCCUUACCUAGAAGAUAAAGUAAAAGUGCACAAUACAUUUAACCCAUCCUGAAAGGCCCCUGGAUAGCAUGCACAUGCAUUCACGCAUGAGUGUGUGCGCACACACACACACACACACAAAUUUUUUUCAAACAGGCAGUGUACACAAUCACCUCUGGGAUUAAUGAGUUUUGCUGGGUAAGUAUCAUACAUAAGUGUGUCCCAUUUGACAGGAAAUUACUGCAAAUGAAUUUGGCGCCUCUGAAAGCCUCUUCAGCAGCCCUGGAAUCUGAAAUCCUUUAUUUAUUCAACUAACAAGAAUAGCACAGACAGCAGCAGUUGGUUCUCCCCAACACUGUCUCCCAUGAGACUAACCUAGCUCUGACCUCUUGGCAUGGGCAGGAGUGUUGCUUUGCCCACUAGAACACUGAGGCUGGGGCUCGGAAGUGCUGAAGGAAGCACUCACACAUUGGCGGGUGGAGGUGGUGGGGGCCCAACUGAGUCCCAGAUCACACACUAAGUAAAUACUAUCUGGAUAACAAGUGGGAAUGCAUUCACACUAUGGCCCCUGGAGAUGAGACACUUAUGGGCAGUCCCAUGAAAAGCCACCCUGUCAUAACUCACCAAUUUAGGCUGUACAUAGUCUAUCUUCGUCUCUUCCUCCAAUAUUCUGAAAGGCAUCUCUUGGCUUUUCAAAUCCAAAGACAGAUUCUAAAUAUCUCAGUGCCCAACCCCUCCUUCCUUAGGCUUUCUAUAAAUGAGCCGAUUCCUUGCUAGUCCCACCCGAGGAAACCAAGGAGGCAGCCCUGGCAAGUGGAUAGACAGUGUAGACAGUGCAGAUCUUCACUUAUGGCCUGUUGUAUUUUUUCACGUUUCAUCAGAUCCCUUUCUUCUGGGAGAAAUUCCAAAACAUGCAGCCUCUUGCUUCAGAGUUUGGGUAGUGUUAUUUCUUAAAGGCAGAACAUUUAAAGUAGGUGCCUAUUAGACUACGAUCCAAAUCAUAAAAGGGAUUUUUAAAAGUAAAUUUCUCCUGAAUUUUUAUUCUAACCCAUUUAGACACAAAAAAGACUAAGGAAUCGCUUCAUUUUCCCUUCCAAAUACCUUUGUUUGCUCCCUCUCUUAUUCUUUCUGCUUUUACAUUUACUUCUGAAACUCACAGAAUACUUGAUCCAAAGCUCUUUUACUCACACUGGAAUCUUAAGAAAGCUAACUCCCAUUCCCCUUUGUGGCAGUGGGGACAUUCAGGCACUUUAAAAGGGGUUCUCUAUGG
rnacentral:lncRNA from 1 species